rnacentral:rRNA from 1 species
UACGGAGGGUGCAAGCGUUAUCCGGAUUUAUUGGGUUUAAAGGGUCCGUAGGCGGAUCUGUAAGUCAGUGGUGAAAUCUCAUAGCUUAACUAUGAAACUGCCAUUGAUACUGCAGGUCUUGAGUAAGGUAGAAGUAGCUGGAAUAAGUAGUGUAGCGGUGAAAUGCAUAGAUAUUACUUAGAACACCAAUUGCGAAGGCAGGUUACUAUGUCUUAACUGACGCUGAUGGACGAAAGCGUGGGGAGCGAACAGG